UACGAAGGGGGCUAGCGUUGCUCGGAAUCACUGGGCGUAAAGCGCACGUAGGCGGAUUGCUAAGUCAGGGGUGAAAUCCUGGAGCUCAACUCCAGAACUGCCUUUGAUGCUGGCGACCUUGAGUCCGGGAGAGGUGAGUGGGACUGCGAGUGUAGAGGUGAAAUUCGUAGAUAUUCGCAAGAACACCAGUGGCGAAGGCGGCUCACUGGCCCGGUACUGACGCUGAGGUGCGAAAGCGUGGGGAGCAAACAGG
rnacentral:rRNA from 1 species